UAAGAAUAAACCUCACAACAGAUCUAUUGAGUUGUUUGAGUUCCUUAUAUAUGUUGGAUAUUAACCCUUUAUCACAUAUGGUUUGAAAGCAUUUUAUCCUAUUCCAUGUGCUGUCUCUUAAGUCUGUUGAUUGUUUCAUUUGCUUUGUAGAAGGUUUUUGGUCUGACACCAAUCAGAUUUGUCUGUGUUUGCUUUUGUUGCCUAUGCUUUCAGGGUCAUAUUAAAAAACUAUUUGCUAAAACCAAUGAUAAGAGGCAUUUACCUUCUGUUUUCUUAUAAUGAUUUUACAGUUUAAAGUCUUAAGUCUUUAACCUAUUUUGAGUUGAUUUUUAUAUAUGUUCUGAGAUAAAGGUUGAAUUUCUUUCUUCUGCAUGUGUAUAUCCAACUCAUGCAUCACUGUUUAUUGAUGAGUCUGCCUUUCCAGUCUGUGAAUUUUGUUGAUUUUUAGUUGUUCUAUAUAUGGAUUUUGUAUCUGAAAGACAAAAAUAAGAAUUGAAAGAAAACAUCUCCAGCCCUUUAUCUCAACAGGAAAGAAUUCUUGACAAACAGCACAGUAGUUCUGUGCUGGAAAAUGAAAACAGCCACAGUGGAUGCUGCAUCCAACAGUGUACUCACUAAAAUACAAACUGUUAGUAAGAUAACCAGGUCAUGGGAAAUUUCUAGAACUGGCUGGCUGAAUAUCUAUGCUGCUGCUGCUUUUAAGGCACCGGAAAUAGACCUGAAGAUAAAGAUCUUAAUGCAAGUGAGUUACUGAAGAGACACAGGAGCUGGGUAACUAUAUUUUAUGAGUCUUUUCUAAAAUAGCCAACAUAACAUUACAACAAAGAAUUAAAUAAAGUAUGGCAUCCUCAUGUGCUGUACUAUUUUUUAACAUUUAUAUUUUCUUUUUUUUUCAACUUUUAAGUGCCAGGGUACAUGUGCAGGAUGUGCAAGUUUGUUACAUAGGUAAGUUUGUGCCAUGGUUGUUUGCUGGACAGAUCAACUCAUCACCUAGGUAUUAAGCCCAGCAUCCUUUAGCUAGUCUUCCUGGUGCUCACCCUACCACUGUGUACCACCUCCCAAAAGGCAUCUGUGUUGUUCCCUUCCAUGUACCCAUGUGUUCUCACUGUGCAGCUCCCACUUUUGCUUGUUUUUCUGUUCCUGUGUUUGCUGAGGAUAAAACAGCUUCCAGCUCUGUCCAUGUCCCUGCAAAGGAGGUGAUUUCAUUCAUUUUUAUGGCUGCAUAGUAUUCCAUGGUGUAUGUGUACCACAUUUUCUUUAUCCAGUCUAUCAUUGAUGGGCAUUUUAGUUCAUUCCAUGUCUUUGCUAUUGUGAUUAGUGUUUCAAUGAAUGUACAUGUACAUGUAUCUUUAUAAUAGAAUGAUUUAUAUUCCUUGGGGUAUACACCCAUGAGAUUACUGGGUCAAAUGGUAUUUCUGCUUCUAGAUCUUUGAGGAA
rnacentral:lncRNA from 1 species